AUACAUCCCACCCAGAGAAACGAUCUCGCCUCAGAUGAUACUUGUCAUCUGUGAGACCACCCCUUUAGCUAGAGUUAACCACUUGAGCAGGUUUCAAUUUUGUCUCUGAAAGUAGGAAGCUAUCAGUCUCCCUACAUGACUCGUUCCACCCUUUGUGGAUACUUCUACCUGUAGAAAAAAAGGUUGGCAAACUUGGUGGCAUGGUGAGGACAAAGGGCAUUUUGAAAGAACCAGUGACUGAGGUCAGAGUGGGGAGCUGGUGUUAGCUGUGGGAUUCACUGCAGCGUCCUACCACAAAGGCAAAGAAGAUGAAAAUGCAGCGUGCAGUGCUGGGCUUGAUUCCCAAGUCGCAGUCGGGCUCCCGCUAUGGUAGGAGGCUUUACACUCAGCCUGGGUCAGCACCGGAGCAUCCAGGCACUUCAGCUCGUCUGGGUAGUCAGCUGUGAGGAUCAGGAAGAGAUCAAAGAAAGUAGAAAUGUGGGUGAGGCCAGAGAAGGAGACAAUAAUCUGGGAUGGAACAUUGAAGAGGAACACUGCCUCUGGAGAGGACUCCAAAACAUGCAAGACAUUGUGAUUUUGACCUUGUUGGAUGCUGCACCUAAAGGUGGAUGGAAGAGGAAGAGUCUUGGGGGCUACCAUCCUGGCUGGAGAAGCUGGCACGAGGCUCCCUCUUGUGGAUGCAGCAAGGACUGUUAAAAAUCUCCCAAGGCAGAGACUUUUAGGCCUACAUGUACUUAGCCUCCUCUUCCCACCUCCUGUUCAUCUCUGUUUCCAAUGUUCCACUGCCAUCACUGCCAGGAAGUUCUGCAGAGAAGAAUGAAGAAGAACCGUAUGAUCCUAAACAUGUUCUUUGAAGAUAUUAUCAACCCACCAUUGGCCUUAUUUACUGGAAUGUUUUUAUAACCUUUAUUUGACACCUCUUCCCAUCAUUUAAAAUAAAUCUGGUGCUUCCCUGAAUAA
rnacentral:lncRNA from 1 species